UACGGAGGGGGCAAGCGUUAUCCGGAUUUAUUGGGUGUAAAGGGUCCGUAGGCGGAUUUGUAAGUCAGUGGUGAAAUCCUACAGCUUAACUGUAGAACUGCCAUUGAUACUGCAAGUCUUGAGUGUAGUUGAAGUAGCUGGAAUAAGUAGUGUAGCGGUGAAAUGCAUAGAUAUUACUUAGAACACCAAUGGCGAAGGCAGGUUACUGAGCUACAACUGACGCUGAUGGACGAAAGCGUGGGGAGCGAACAGG
rnacentral:rRNA from 1 species